rnacentral:rRNA from 1 species
UACGUAGGUGGCAAGCGAUGUCCGGAUUUACUGGGCGUAAAGAGCGCGCAGGCGGUCGUUCAAGUCGCGUGUGAAAGCCCCCGGCUCAACUGGGGAGGGUCACGCGAUACUGAUCGACUGGAAGGCAGGAGAGGGUAGUGGAAUUCCCGGUGUAGUGGUGAAAUGCGUAGAUAUCGGGAGGAACACCAGUGGCGAAGGCGACUACCUGGCCUGUUCUUGACGCUGAGGCGCGAAAGCUAGGGGAGCAAACGGG